AUUGAACGCUGGCGGCAGGCCUAACACAUGCAAGUCGAACGAGUGGCAGACGGGUGAGUAAUGUCUGGGAAACUGCCUGAUGGAGGGGGAUAACUACUGGAACCGGUAGCUAAUACCGCAUACCAUCAGAUGUGCCCAGAUGGGAUUAGCUUGUUGGUGGGGUAACGGCUCACCAAGGCGACGAUCCCUAGCUGGUCUGAGGGGAUGACCAGCCACACUGGAAGUGAGACACGGUCCAUACGCCUACGGGAGGCAGCAGUGGGGAAUAGUGCACAAUGGGCGCAAGCCUGAUGCAGCCAUGCGGAGUGUAUGAAGAAGGCCCUCGGUUUGUAAAGUACUUUCAGCGGGGAGGCGUUACCCGCAGAAGAAGCACCGGCUAACUCCGUGCCAGCAGCCGCGGUAAUUC
rnacentral:rRNA from 1 species